rnacentral:lncRNA from 1 species
CCACCAGUUGUCUAUAGGCUUCUAUUGGUUGACUCGCGGAAGGUCCGCCCCCUAGAAGAAGCGGCUGGAAAAAAUACCAGCGGCCGGGUCAAAUAACCGUACCUGACCUGACGUCAUUCCGCAGCCAAUCCCAAGCAGCGGUCUUUAGCCUUGUCCAAUGAUAUCCGGCACGAGUUUGGCCCGCGGAGUUUGAUUUUCGUCCAGGAAGGCGGAAGUGGCGCCAGUCCUGGGAGCGAGCCGCAGGGUGGGGGGGAACGCAGGAGGGAAUAGGACUGAGCGAGGGGAUUCCAGUGCCCAGUCCCGGGUCGGUGGGGGGCCGUCGUUACUGUCUGUGGCCUGCAAACUGUGCCGCGCGGGCCGACUUGGGUCGUCGUCCGAGCGCUCCUGUACCAGGACGGGUGCACCACGAGCUUCGCAGACUGCGGAUUCGAGGCAGCUUGAUGUUCCGGUGGUUGCUCGGAGGUAUCAAGAAACGAUAAUGUUUCCUUGAAUUCGCUUAUGUAUUUGUCUCCUCAAUGUCACUCAUAUUGAAUAUCUUAAGAGAAAUGCUGGAAUAUUUUGGUGUUCCCAUAGACCAGGUAAAUAUCUUUUAAUUGAUUUGAAUGACACUGUUGUAUUUGUUGUUGGGUCUUAUUUUGAAAAUGAUCUAUAUUUAAACAUUUAAGGCAAAAUUGUUGCUUCUUUUCAGGUAUAACGAAGGUGAGUUUGCAAUAAUAUACCUUUGGUAGUUUGAGUUAAAAGGGGUAUAAGAUUAGGGGUACCGGCUGGCUCAGUUGGUAGAGUAUGCGGCUCUUGAUCUCCGGGUUGUGAGUCUGAGCCCCACAUUGGAGGUAGAGUUUACUUAAAAAAGGAUAAGAAUAUUAGGACCUUAUUUACUGGAUAGGUCAAAUGCCAGCAAAAGGUGCAAAUGCAGCAAAAUAUAUUUUUGCUUUCAUAGAUAAAAUAUAUUUUUAACUAGCUAGUGGUUUUAUUUAAGGUAAUUUAAUUUUGGUAUUUGGAUAUAUAAGGCAAGUUAUAGCUCAACAAAUUCAGCAUAAAUCUUGAGAGAGGAUGACUUAGAUCUGAGAAUUAUAAGCAAAUCCAAUUUUCUCUACUUAGGGAGCAUUACUACAUGUAAGACAAUAACAGAGUAGCAAUACAUGGUUCUGGUAUUCAUGAUGUUUAAAAUAAAAUAUGAGGAAUAAGAAACA